CACGUCGACUCGGGAGAACCGGCCUCGCGCCGGUGCCGAAGGAGCAACCGCCCCGGAAACUCUCAGGCCCCAGGACCGCGCCGACGCU
rnacentral:ncRNA from 1 species